AAUAUUGCGUCUACCCUGUAGGACAUCCAACAAUCAUUACGGAAAGCUUUGGGGAUAUAGAAAAUUACUUUGGACUUAUCCAGUGCCGUGUGAUUCCUCCUCGGAACCUCUAUCUCCCGGUACUGCCCUAUCGGUGUAGGAAGAAGCUCAUGUUCCCCCUGUGUCGGACUUGUGCCUUUCUACAGUCUCAGUCUUCCUGUACCCACACAGACGAUGAAAGAGCUCUUGUCGGAACGUGGGUAUCGGAAGAAGUCAAGCUGGCGAUAAAGAAAGGUUACCGCGUCACACAUAUUUACGAAGUCUAUCAUUUCAAAGAAUCGUCUACUUCCCUGUUUCGUUCCUACAUUGAUCUCUUUCUGAAGAUCCAACAGGAAAGUAGUGGUUAGCCUUCGGAGUGUGUGACGCCUGAAGACAAAUUAAACUAUAUUCGCCAGUAUGAAGAAAGAGAGGGCGUCAAGUUGGACGCUGGAAAGAUUUCCAAGAACCCUGGGCGUCGACAAGUUGCCAAGUUGGCCCUAAACAGUUUCUGGGGCAGAUGGGGCAUGAACGUCAACAAAGCGCAACUGACCUACGUACAUACGGUGCCAGACUUUAAUAAGAUGUUGGCGGAUCCUACUAAAAAAAUCAAGGAUGUCUUUCUUCCCACGCCUGAGGUGGCUGCCAUUUGCUGGGAAUCUUCAAAGGAGUUGUACCGCAGGAUGCCUCGACCAACAUUUUUCUAGCAACUUUUACGACAGCUUGGGCUCGUCUCAAGCUGUAUAGUGAAAUGGAGAAGCUGGGUCGAGAUGUCCUGUAUCACGACACAGAUUCCAUCAUCUAUGCCUCGAAUGGUUGCAACGAUCCCCCCUUAGGAAACUUCUUAGGAGAAUUUACCGACGAACUGGAUGGAGAUGUUAUCAAAACCUUCGUGUCAGGAGGACCGAAAAACUACGCAUACCAGACGGCCACUGGGAAAACCUGCUGCAAAGUCCGAGGAUUUUCAUUGAACUUCCGGAAUUCCCAGUUGCUGAAUUUUGAAGCCAUUAAAAGUCUGGUCUGCAGCCUCGACCGAAGUGAGAUCAUCUCUCUCCACAACCCCUGCAAAAUCACCCGAGAAGCGAAGAGAAGAAAGGUGGUGAAUAAACCGGAAACAAAACUGUACAGAAUUGUGUUGGAUAAAAGGGUGAUCCAACAGGACUUGACCACCUUACCAUUUGGGCUUUUGAAAAUAACUUUUGUAAAAAUGUAUGGUAUGUACAAAAAAAAUUUUUGUAUGUAAAAAGAUGUUAUGCACAGUAUUU